AUUGAACGCUGGCGGCAGGCCUAACACAUGCAAGUCGAGCGGAGCGGCGGACGGGUGAGUAAUGCCUGGGAAACUGCCUGGUGGUGGGGGAUAACGCCCGGAAACGGGCGCUAAUACCGCAUACUAUCAGAUGAGCCUAGGUCGGAUUAGCUAGUUGGUGGGGUAAAGGCCUACCAAGGCGACGAUCCGUAGCUGGUCUGAGAGGAUGAUCAGUCACACUGGAACUGAGACACGGUCCAGACUCCUACGUGAGGCAGCAUUGGGGAAUAUUGGACAAUGGGCGAAAGCCUGAUCCAGCCAUGCCGCGUGUGUGAAGAAGGUCUUCGGAUUGUAAAGCACUUUAAGUUGGGAGGCGUUACCAGCAGAAGAAGCACCGGCUAACUUCGUGCCAGCAGCCGCGGUAAUAC
rnacentral:rRNA from 1 species